UACGUAGGGGGCUAGCGUUGUCCGGAAUCAUUGGGCGUAAAGCGCGUGUAGGCGGUCCGGUAAGUCCGCUGUGAAAGUCGGGGGCUCAACCCUCGGAUGCCGGUGGAUACUGUCGGGCUUGAGUACGGAAGAGGCGAGUGGAAUUCCUGGUGUAGCGGUGAAAUGCGCAGAUAUCAGGAGGAACACCGGUGGCGAAAGCGGCUCACUGGCCCGAUACUGACGCUCAUGUUCGAAAGCGUGGGGAGCAAACAGG
rnacentral:rRNA from 1 species